rnacentral:rRNA from 1 species
UACGUAGGGUGCAAGCGUUAAUCGGAAUUACUGGGCGUAAAGCGUGCGCAGGCGGUGAUGUAAGACAGGUGUGAAAUCCCCGGGCUUAACCUGGGAACUGCAUUUGUGACUGCAUGGCUAGAGUUUGGCAGAGGGGGGUAGAAUUCCACGUGUAGCAGUGAAAUGCGUAGAUAUGUGGAGGAACACCGAUGGCGAAGGCAGCCCCCUGGGUCAAGACUGACGCUCAUGCACGAAAGCGUGGGGAGCAAACGGG